rnacentral:lncRNA from 1 species
AAGUAUUUGAGAAAUACUAAGGAUCAGUGACUUGUUUAUGAAGAGUCUGACUUAAAACUUAUAGAAUUUACAGACUUCAGCUUUCAGUCAGAUCAUGAUGAUAGCAAGAGCAUGUUGAAAUAUGUAUAUACCCUGAAUGGAGGAGUAGACUGCUAGAAAAGAUUUAAAAAGCACACCAUGGCCGACUUUACUUGCGAGGCGAA